CACGUAGGGCGCAAGCGUUGUCCGGAAUUAUUGGGCGUAAAGAGCUCGUAGGCGGUCUGUUGCGUCCGCUGUGAAAACUCGGGGCUUAACCCCGAGCCUGCAGUGGAUACGGGCAGACUUGAGUCCGGUAGGGGAGUGCGGAAUUCCCGGUGUAGCGGUGAAAUGCGCAGAUAUCGGGAGGAACACCAAUGGCGAAGGCAGCACUCUGGGCCGGUACUGACGCUGAGGAGCGAAAGCG
rnacentral:rRNA from 1 species